rnacentral:lncRNA from 1 species
CCCGCCUCCCUCGCCCCCCCUUCAACCCCUACACCCACCCACACUUCGCUCCGGAGCCUCUUCCACAGAGAGCUCCACGCUUUGAUUCGGGAGCUGAGUGCUCCCCAGGUUAAAAGUGCUGCAGACCUGAAUGUCCCAUAACUAUGCCCCGGGAAGCAGAAGCGGACUGGAGGGCAGUAGGAACGGCCUGGGCCACGGAAGUCCUAAGCAAACACAUUCCAACAAGGAGAAUCACAGGAUGGAUUUCCAGCUCCUUCAAAGACCUGCAGCUUUGGAAACCUAGGAGACCCUCCACCCCCAAACUCCUGAUGCUUCCACCAUUGAACAGGAAGCUCAGCGCUCAUGCAUAAACACUCUGCGGCAUAAUCAUUUCAUUGGGAGGAAAGCCUAGAAACCCUUUCAUUUUUAGUAUGUUAGGACUUUUGAAAAGACAAACAAACAAAAGAAGAACACUGCCAUUGGGAAGGCAACUUCAGGGAGGUUUCUGUUUUGGUUUUAGUAUCUUUCCCCGUCUUUAAUCCUACCACCCUGCCCCUUACCUGCCCUUAUAAUCCCUUUGGCAUGUGCUUGUGACAUCACACAGCCAUCAGCUCCAGCCCCUUUCCUUAUAACUGUCAUUAACUGUUGCAAGCAAAUGAAAAAUGACUGGGAGACUCACUGGCUCCCACCAGUGACCUUGGGUAUUAUUAGAAUGACCUCCCUUUGGCUUGACCGAAAAAAAAAAAAAAAGGAUCUCUCUGUAUACAUCAUCACAGAGCCUGGCUGGGUUAGAGGAGUAUAGUCUGGUUGCUUGCCCAUAAGGAGAAAAGAGAAAGCAUUGAAGGAUACAGAGCAAACACUGCACAAAAAUACAGCUUAUAUAAGAACACUCAGGAAGAGACCAAGCUUGAAUACUGAGCUAAAGCGCAGGGAUAAUUCUAACCUGUUAUCUCUAUAUUAUCCUAAUUCUUGGUGUUGGGGGGUGGGGUGGGAAGAGAGAAGGGGUAAAACACUCCCUAUUAACCUUCAACAUCUAGGAAAGGUGAAAACAAUUAGAACACAAUUCAUGGGAUGAGAGAUCUAGAGCUGAAAGGACCCUUUGAGGUCAUCUAGCUCAACCUCCCUCAUUUUACCGACGAGGAAACAGAGGCUGAGGAAUGUUAAGAGACCUGACUAAGGUCACACUUGCAGUAAUAAUUGCAAGUGAGAUUGUCUGUCUUUUGACUCCAGAGCGAGGGCUCUUUCUGCUACACUAUAUUUCUAUGGUAAUUUUUUUUUCUUUUUAGUUUUGAUUCUAAGUCAUCAUGCUAAGAUUUCGCUUUUAAAAAAUUAAAAUUAGGUAACUGAAAAAAUGUCUCCAAUCAACUAAGU